CGAAAUGCGAUAAGUAAUGUGAAUUGCAGAAUUCAGUGAAUCAUCGAAUCUUUGAACGCACCUUGCGCUCCUUGGUAUUCCUCGGAGCAUGCCUGUUUGAGUAUCAUGAAAUCUUCAAAAUAAAUCUUUUGUUCACUCGAUUGAUUUUAUUUUGGACUUGGAGGCUUGCAGAUUCACGUCUGCUCCUCUUAAAUUUAUUAGCUGGAUCUCGGUGAGCUCGGUUCCACUCGGCGUGAUAAGUAUCACUCGCUGAGGACACUGUAAAAGGUGGCCGGGAUUGCGGAUGAACCGCUUCUAAUAGUCCAUUGACUUGGACAAUAAAUACUUUAUGAUCUGAUCUCAAAUCAGGUAGGACUACCCGCUGAACUUAAGCAUAUCAAUAAGCGGAGGAAAAGAAACU
rnacentral:rRNA from 1 species